rnacentral:rRNA from 1 species
CCACAAGAAACUGGAUCGAAACAACUCGUAAUUGAUCUGUUGUACUGGGGCGGUAACCUUCAUUAGAGUAACGAGGGUAGACAAAAGCCGGCGCUGAGUUCGAACUGAAAAGUGCCGGUUGACUGCGAGAAACACCAAUCAAGCAGGCGUGUGAAGCGGGUAGUAGUGACCGGGUUCGAAAGCGGAUCCACCAAUGGACUAAAGAUACGCUAGGGAUAACAGGCUUAUCUGGGAAUAGAGUCCCCAUCGACUCCCAGGUUUGGCACCUUGAAUCGGGGUGGGCUGGUGGGAAAUAACUGCGGGCCGCGGAAUUGGGCUGUAUGCUGGGACAUCAUGAAAUUAAGCUGCAGACGACUCCUUACAGCCGAAUUGCAUGAAGGGAGUCCAUAGCGUAUGACGAUCAGCAGGGAAGUCCUCUACGACAGCGUAUGACCCCUCAACGACUACACGCCAGCGCCGAAGAUACCUAUAGCGAGCUAGCCCUUGUUGUAGUAAACGGCGAAGAAAUAGUCUGGUUAGCCGAGCGAUUGGAAGUAACAGACAGCGAUGUUGGAUUAUCCCGUCCUGCUGCUGAAGAAGGUAGCGAGGGUUAGGCUGUUCGCCUAUGAAAGGGGUACAUGAUCUGAGUUCAGAACGUUGUGAGACAGUUCGGUUUCUAUCUACCUACGCCGUCCAGACCCGCCAAGGUUGGUUAGUACGAAAGGACCACGCUAGCCGGAACCCCUGGUACACCUGUUGUGGGCAGCAUCGCAGGGAGGCUAAGUUUCAGCGCGGCGACGGACACAAGCGGGAUUCAUGUGCACGCAUUGGAUUGCCGACGUUGAUUAGAGAAGCGCCACUGAAUAGGAA